rnacentral:rRNA from 1 species
AACAAACGCUGGCGGCGUGCCUAAUACAUGCAAGUCGAACGAGGAAAGCCCUUCGGGGUGAGUAUGAGUGGCGCACGGGUGAGUAACACGUGGAUAAUCUGCCUUAGAGUGGGGGAUAACUCCUCGAAAGAGGGGCUAAUACCGCAUAAGACCACAGAGACUUCGGUCUCAGGGGUCAAAGAUUUAUCGCUUUAAGAUGAGUCCGCGUCCAAUUAGCUAGUUGGUAGGGUAAAAGCCUACCAAGGCGACGAUUGGUAGCUGGUCUGAGAGGAUGAUCAGCCACACUGGAACUGAGACACGGUCCAGACUCCUACGGGAGGCAGCAGUAGGGAAUAUUGCGCAAUGGAGGCAACUCUGACGCAGCAACGCCGCGUGAGUGAUGAAGGGUUUCGGCUUGUAAAGCUCUGUCGUACGGGAAUAAAAAAAUGAAGGUACCGUACAAGAAAGGACCGGCCAACUUCGUGCCAGCAGCCGCGGUAAUACGAGGGGUCCUAGCGUUGUUCGGAAUUACUGGGCGUAAAGCGCAUGCAGGCGGCCAGGCCGUAUCAGAUGUGAAAGCCCGGGGCUCAACCCCGGAAGUGCAUUUGAUACCACCUGGC